rfam:Caenorhabditis japonica strain DF5081 Contig17375.24, whole genome shotgun sequence.
GCUCUGAAAAGCUGAAGAGAGCAGUCUAUUGACAGUUGGUUCUACUCCAACUCACUGUCAUGGAGGCGCUCUCUUCAGAUGAUCCGAC